CGCGACCCCAGGUCAGGCGGGGCUACCCGCUGAAU
rnacentral:rRNA from 1 species